rnacentral:rRNA from 1 species
CUCCGAAUACCGUGGAGUACUAUCCGGGAGACAGACGGUGGGUGCUAAUGUCCAUCGUCAAGAGGGAAACAACCCAGACCGCCAGCUAAGGCCCCAAAUUUCUAGUUAAGUGGGAAACGAUGUGGGAAGGCAUAGACAGCUAGGAGGUUGGCUUAGAAGCAGCCACCCUUUAAAGAAAGCGUAAUAGCUCACUAGUCGAGUCGGCCUGCGCGGAAGAUGUAACGGGGCUAAAACUAGAAGCCGAAGCUGCGGAUGCGUAUUUUAUACGCGUGGUAGGGGAGCGUUCUGUAAGUCUGCGAAGGUGAGUUGAGAAGCUUGCUGGAGAUAUCAGAAGUGCGAAUGCUGACGUGAGUAACGACAAGGGGUGUGAAAAACACCCCCGCCGGAAGACCAAGGGUUCCUGCUCAACGUUAAUCGGAGCAGGGUGAGUCGACCCCUAAGGCGAGGCUGAGAAGCGUAGUCGAUGGGAAACAGGUUAAUAUUCCUGUACCUUUUACUGAUGCGAUGGAGGG